AGGUAAAAUAUGUAAGAAAUCCAAAACUAUGUGAGUAUCCAUAUCUAGUUUUAAUAUAUUCAGUUAGUAUUCAUCUCCACUCAUUUCUGUUUUGUGCUUUUAUUUUAUGACACACAGUUAUCUCUCACUGUGCUCCUUGCUAUAUAAUAUAAACAGCUACCUCUCACUCUAAUCCUCCCAUAUAUAACUAUAUAAUAGGCACAGCUACCUCUCACUCUACUCCUCUCCUACAUAACUAUAUAAUAUACACAGCUAUCUCUCACUCUACUCCUCUCCUACAUAAUUAUAUAAUAUACACAGCUACCUCUCACUCUACUCCUCCCAUAUAUAACUAUAUAAUAUACACAGCUACCUCUCUCUACUCCUCUCCUACAUAAUUAUAUAAUAUACACAGCUACCUCUCUCUACUCCUCUCCUACAUAACUAUAUAUAAUAUACACAGCUACCUCUCACUCUACUCCUCCCAUAUAUAACUAUAUAAUAUACACAGCUACCUCUCACUCUACUCCUCUCCUAUAUAACUAUAUAAUAUACACAGCUACCUCUCUCUACUCCUCUCCUACAUAACUAUAUAUAAUAUACACAGCUACCUCUCACUCUACUCCUCUCCUACAUAACUAUAUAAUAUGCACAGCUAUCUCUCACUCGACUCCUCUCCUACAUUAUAUAAUAUACAGCUACCUCUCUCUCUCCUCUCCUACAUAACUAUAUAUAAUAUACACAGCUACCUCUCACUCUACUCCUCCCAUAUAUAACUAUAUAAUAUACACAGCUACCUCUCUCUACUCCUCUCCUACAUAAUUAUAUAAUAUACACAGCUACCUCUCUCUACUCCUCUCCUACAUAACUAUAUAUAAUAUACACAGCUACCUCUCACUCUACUCCUCCCAUAUAUAACUAUAUAAUAUACACAGCUACCUCUCACUCUACUCCUCUCCUAUAUAACUAUAUAAUAUACACAGCUACCUCUCUCUACUCCUCUCCUACAUAACUAUAUAUAAUAUACACAGCUACCUCUCACUCUACUCCUCUCCUACAUAACUAUAUAAUAUGCACAGCUAUCUCUCACUCGACUCCUCUCCUACAUAACUAUAUAAUAUACACAGCUACCUCUCUCUACUCCUCUCCUACAUAACUAUAUAAUAUUCACAGCUACCUCUCACUCUACUCCUCUCCUAUAUAACUAUAUAAUAUACACAGCUACCUCUCUCUACUCCUCUCCUACAUAACUAUAUAAUAUACACAGCUACCUCUCACUCUACUCCUCUCCUAUAUAACUAUAUAAUAUACACAGCUACCUCUCUCUACUCCUCUCCUACAUAACUAUAUAAUAUACACAGCUACCUCUCACUCUACUCCUCUCCUACAUAACUAUAUAAUAUACACAGCUAUCUCUCACUCUACACCUCUCCUACAUAACUAUAUAAUAUACACAGCUACCUCUCACUCUACUCCUCUCCUACAUAACUAUAUAAUAUACACAGCUACCUCUCACUCUACUCCUCUCCUACAUAACUCUAUAAUAUACACAGCUACCUCUCACUCUACUCCUCUCCUAUAUAACUAUAUAACAGGCACAGCUAUCUCUCACUCUACUCCUCCCAUAUAUAACUAUAUAAUAUACACAGCUACCUCUCACUCUACUCCUCCCAUAUAUAACUAUAUAAUAUACACAGCUACCUCUCACUCUACUACCUCUCCUACUCUACUCCUAACUAGCUAUAAUAUACACAGCUAUCUCUCACUCUACUCCUCUCCUACAUAACUAUAUAACAGGCACAGCUAUCUCUCACUCUACUCCUCUCCUACAUAACUAUAUAAUAUACACAGCUACCUCUCACUCUACUCCUCCCAUAUAUAACUAUAUAAUAUACACAGCUACCUCUCACUCUACUCCUCUCCUACAUAACUAUAUAAUAUACACAGCUACCUCUCACUCUACUCCUCUCCUACAUAACUAUAUAAUAUACACAGCUAUCUCUCACUCUACUCCUCUCCUACAUAACUAUAUAAUAUACACAGCUAUCUCUCACUCUACUCCUCUCCUACAUAACUAUAUAUCAGGCACAGCUAUCUCUCACUCUACUCCUCUCCUACAUAACUAUAUAAUAUAAACAGCUAUCUCUCACUCUACUCCUCCCAUAUAUAACUAUAUAAUAUACACAGCUAUCUCUCACUCUACUCCUCUCCUACAUAACUAUAUAAUAUACACAGCUAUCUCUCACUCUACUCCUCCCAUAUAUAACUAUAUAAUAUACACAGCUAUCUCUCACUCUGCCUCUCUCUAUAUAAUAUACACAGCUAUCUCUCACUCUGCUCCUCUCUAUAUAAUAUACACAGCUAUCUCUGACUGCUACUCUCUAUAUAAUAUACACAGCUAUCUCUCACCCUGCUCCUCUCUAUAUAAUAUACACAGCUAUCUCUCACUGUGCUACUCUCUAUAUAAUAUACACAGCUAUCUCUCACUCUGCUCCUCUCUCUAUAAUAUACACAGCUAUCUCUCACUCUGCUCCUCUCUAUAUAAUAUACACAGCUAUCUCUCACUCUGCUCCUCUCUAUAUAAUAUACACAGCUAUCUCUCACUCUGCUCCUCUCUAUAUAAUAUACACAGCUAUCUCUCACUCUGCUCCUCUCUAUAUAAUAUACACAGCUAUCUCUCACUCUGCUCCUCUCUAUAUAAUAUACACAGCUAUCUCUCACACUACUUAAUCUAACCCCAAAGAGUUAUUUUUUUGUGUAGUAGUUUUUAUAUUUUCUGUCUUUUUUGUAAUCCUGUUUAAUUUUUUAUUUUAAGUUGUGUCAUCAUUUAAUAGAAUUUUAUUUGGCCUUCAUUGAGGCUGAAGAAAAGAUGUUUUAAAAGAAAUAGGACAUCUAAUUGUAUGUAGGGAGCUUUGGGACUCCUUGGGGAACACUUAAGGACAAAUACUGACUUUUUGUAACAGAUAUUUAGAUUUAUUCGACUUCCUUACUUUUAUUAGGGUGAGGGAUUAGGUAUUUUUUUAUUGUGGUGUGGGUUGGCUAGGGGCAUGGAUAGCCCUAGCCACAAGGGGAACACUUAAGAACACACGGGGGACAUGGGAAAUGGCAAGUUCACCUCCUUUCUAAAAUUAUUUAGAACUCUAAUCCACCAUCUAUGGGUGCUAGUGUAACACUAGGCCCCCCUCUGUUAUCAACAUUAAAUGCACAUACAUUGUAUGUGUCUUUGUAAGUGCAUAAAUAUGUGUGUAUGUGCCCAUUUUGAUGUUGAUCAUAUAAAUUAUAAUAUAGAUAUUUGUUUUACCUACAGGGAUGAUGGUAAUCACCUUACCACACACCAUCCUGAGACCGAGGCGCAUUUCAACAAUGGUAUAGUAGAAAUAAUAGUUUAUUAUAACUAUGAACAUUUAUUAUUAUUAUUUUAUUAUUUAUAUAGCGCCAUCAGAUUCCAUAGCGCUGUACAAUGGGUGGACUAACAGACAUGUAAUUGUAACCAGACAACUGUACGCACAGGAACAGAGAGGCGGAGGGCCCUCAAUGAGCUUACAUUCUAUAGGGAGUUAGGUAUAGUGACACAAAGGGUAAAAAUAAGGGUACGAAGUAGGUUGUUAGAAAAGUAUUCACUGAGUGCUUAGUAGGUAAUUUUUGAAGGUUGCAGGAGAAGAGUCAUGGGGGAUUGGGGAUAAAAACCUGCACACAGUUUCAUUGAUAUGCUUUCUUGAAGAAGUGAAUUUUCAAUGAUUUUUUUGAAUGAGUGGAGACUGUGUGUAAGUCUUAUGGCAAAGCAAAGGGAGUUCCACAGAAGAGGUGCAGCCCUGGAGAAAUCUUGGAGGCGAGCAUUAGAGGUGGGAUUACGGACAGAGGAUAUACGUAGGUUUUUGGCAGAUCGUAGGGGCCUCGACGGGACAUACAUUACAGUUACAUGUAUUAGGGAGGAUAGGUAGGUUGGAACAGCAUUAUGUAGGAACUUGUAAGCAAGCACCAGAAUUUUAAAUUGAGCACUAUAUCUAACUGGAAGCCAUUGCAGGGACUGACAGAGCGGGUAGGCGUGGUAGGUGCAAGGGGACAGGAAAAUGAGCCUCGCCUCCGCAUUCAUUAUAGAUUGCAGCGGUGCAAUCUGGAACCACGUCAAACCAUUGAGAAGUGUAUUGCAGUAGUCAAGGCGAGAGAGAACGACAGCAUGGACCAGCACCUUAACCGCAUCUGGUGUUAAAUAGGGGCGGAUGCGUGCUAUGUUUUGGAGAUGGAAGCAACAGGAUUUGGCGAUUGAUUGGACAUGAGGGGUGAAGGAGAGGUUGGAGUAAAAAAGAACACCCAGGCAGCGAGCCUGUGAGGUAGAGGUGAUGGUAGCACCGUUGACUUGGAGGGAGGCAGGCACGGGAGUACUAACACUCGAGGGAGGAAGGACCAGAAGUUCUGUUUUGGACAGUUGAGUUUAAGGAAGUGAGCAGCCAUCCAGUUGGAAAUCGCAGAGAGGCAGUCAGAGAAACGAGUCACGAUGGGUGGAGAGAGAUCAGGAGAGGACAGGUAGAUUUGCGUGUCAUCUGCAUAGAAAUCAUAACGGAAGCCAAAGGAGCAGAUGAGUUUACCAAUGGAGGCAGUAUAGAUAGAUAACAGUAGGGGACCAAGGGCAGAACCUUGGAGGAUGCCAACAGAGAGUGGUUGGGGAGAAGAGUCAGAGUCAGAGAAAGAAACACUGAAAGAGCGGUAGGAGGAGCACCAGGAGAGAGCAGUAUCCCGUAGACCAAAAUUACGGAGAAUGCGAAGAAGUUGUUGAUGAUCAACAGUGUCAAAGGCAGCAGAAAGAUCAAGGAGAAUUAGGAUAGAGUAAUGGCCGCGAGAUUUACCAGCAAUUAAAUUGUUGGAUAUUUUGGUCAGUCGUUUCGACAGAAUGACCAGCGCGAAAUCCAGACUGAAGGCAGUCAAGGAGAGAGUUGGAUUCGAGAGUCAGUCAUUCUGGUAUACACAACUCUCUCGAGGAUCUUGUGGCAGGGUGGCGGUCCAAAGACCGGGACCCCUGUGCCUGAUGUAGAAGAUUAGCGGAGCCUUCAGCAUGGAAGUGGAUAAGUAUGGCCUGGUGCAGGGUAACCACACGCCCCCUGUUGUUGAGUGUUUGAGCAGCCACCAACUAGAACUCUGAUGGAACUUUAGUGGAAGGCAGAGCAGAUGAAUUACUGAUAUGUAUCCAGUUCUAGAAACAAGGUAAGACUAGAAUAGGCACCAAACAAGAAAACAAGGCAAAACUAACAGAAACGAAGAAGGAUAGAAAGCUGAACCCAGAACAUGUACACAAUACAUAAGGGAAACAUUAACAGAACAGGGGCAGGACUGUACAUGGAUUGGGAAUACAAAAUAAGACAAACGAUAUAAGGCAAAACAAGAGGAGACAAAAGUAAGUAAUACAUUGGAGAUUUAGACAUACAUAAAUGGCCAAGAUGUAUGCAGCCCACCACUGCGAGGUUAUGGGUCAGCUUAGUGUGCAAGGGUUGCAAUUGGGGGCGCUUGCUGUGUUUAAUUGUAGUAGGUGCCAUGAUUUCGAGUUGAGAGAAGAGAGUUGAGUUUUAGAGUGAGGUUGCAGAGUUAGGGAAAGCUGGAUUUGAGAUGGGUAAAAGGAGAGUUUGGAGUUUGGUGGAGAAAUGCUGGAGAUCAAGGCAGUUGAGGUUUCUGUGGGCACAGGGUAUGCUGAUGGCAAAUGUCAGCAGAUGGUGGUCAAAGGAAAUGGAACAGUGGAGAGAUUAGAGGUGGUACAGAGAUUGGUGAAGAUGAGGGUAUUUGGUGAAGAUGAGAGUAUUUCCUGCUGUAUGAGUUGCUGAAGUAGACAACUGCGCAAGGCCAAAGGAGGAGGUUACAGAGAGCAGACCGGGGGCAUCAGGGCAGUUGAGGUUGUUGAUUAGGAUGUUAAGGUCCCGAAGUAUUAUUAUUAUUAUUAUUAUUAUUGCCAUUUAUAUAGCGCCAGCAGGUUCCGUAGCCCUUUACAAUAUUAUGAGAGGGGGGGAUGUAACUAUAAAUUACAAGAAAACUUACAGAAACAAUAGGUUGAAGAGGACCCUGCUCAAAUGAGCUUACAGUCUAUAGUAGGUGGGGUAUAAAACACAUUAGGACAGGAAUAUCAAUCAAAUAAGGUGGGAGUGAAGCAGAGCUGGAGGAGAGUAAAGUGCUGCCCUAUAAGAGACAGGUGUGUAAGGUAGAGGUUACUCUGGGAGGCCAUAAGCUUUCCUGAAGAAAUGGGUUUUAAGGCACUUUUUAAAGGAUUGAAGACUAGGGGAGAGUCUGAUGAGGGUAGGCAGGCUAUUCCAUAGGAAGGGAGCCGCCCGCGAGAAGUCCUGCAAGCGCGAGUUGGCCGUACGGGUGCGAGCAGCACUCAGGAGGUGGUCAGGGGCAGAGUGGAGAGAACGAGGACGGGCAUACCUAUGAAUCUGUGAAGAGAUAUAAGAGGGGCUAGAAUUGUUCAGUGCUUUAUAUGUAUGGGUUAGCACUUUGCAUCUACUCUUAUAGGAUUCAGGAAGCCAAUGUAAGGACUGAUAGAGGGGUGAGGUCUGAGAGGACCGACUAGAGAGGAAAAUCAGUCUUACGGUAGCAUUCAUUACAAACUGUAGUGGGGUGACACGGCAGGAAAUUACUAGAGCAUGGACAAGCUCCUUGGUAGCAUCUUGUGUAAGAAAGGGGCGGAUGCGGGCUAUGUUUUUAAGUUGGAAUCUACAGGAUUUGGCAACAAACUGGAUGUGAGGCUCAAAGGUGAGGCCAGAGUCAAGUACGAUGCCAAGACAGCGUGCUUGCAAGGAUGGACUUAUGUGGAUACCACUGACUUGAAGUGAGAGCUAAAGAUGAUGAUCAGUAUUAGGAGGAGGAAGACAAGGAGUUCAGUUUUGGAGAGAUUGAGUUUCAGAACGCGCGAGGACAUCCAGUCAGAGAUGAAAGAAAGGCAGGCAGUGACACGUUGCAGGACGGCAGGGGAGAGAUCCAGGGAGGAGAGAUAUAUUUGGGUGUCAUCAGCGUUCAGGUGGUAGUGGAAUCCAAAAGAGGCAAUAAGUUUGCCAAAGAGGCAGUAUAAAGCGAAAAUAGAAGGGGACCUUAGACAGAGCCUUGGGGAACUCCAACCAAGACAGGACUAGGGGAGGAGGUAUCCUUGGAAAAGGAGACACUGAAUGAGCGUUGGGAGAGAUAAGAGUAUGAGGGGGGGGAGUGCUAGUGGAGAGAAAGUGGGGUAGCCAGGAAGAAAAGUGUUCAAUGAAUAGUCUAGGAUGACCGGGGGGCAAUAGAUGAUGGCAAUUCUUCAAGGAUUGGGCUUAAAAAGGCGGACAGUGUGAACUUCAUAGGAAUUAAAGUAAAGGGCAGGGGCAGGGAGGAUAGGUUGAAAGGUACAUUGAGGGGAGAGAAGGAUGCCUAAUAAUAGUUGAGUCUGGGAGUGUGGGAGAAUUGUAGUCCACCGAAACAUAAAGAAGCGGGAGUAGCGGUAUAAGAGGUGGACGCCCAGGUCUCAGUGAGUGCCAGUAUUGUGAGUGAGCUAGAGAUGACAAGGUCGUGUAUAGCUGUUGAUUUAAUAUUACUACAGAUUGAAUGGGCGUUCCAGAGUUAAACUUAUUGUAUAGUUAAUGAUGAUUUUUAUCAAUUUUUAAUCCAGAAUCGGCUUAUGAGAACAAUUCACAUGCGGAAACUGGAAAAGUGGUGAUAAAUGUAAUCAUUAUUCUCUUUUUUUCCUUAUUUCAUCUAAUAUCUUGUUUAUCUCUUAACUACCUCUCUUUCACUCCUUUAUUAUAUAAACAUGUUCUUCUUCUUCCUCGGGUUACUUCCACAUUUUUAUUUUCUCUUCCCUUUUCUCUUUCCAUAUCCAAACAUGUUUUAAUUAUCAUCUCAAAUCUCCUCUGCUCUUUUGUCCUCUCUACCUGCUUUUUUUAUCUCUCUCCUUUUGUAUUUGUCUUUAUCCUGUCUUUUAGUCUCUUGUGUGCUGUUGUUGUUUAUUCUAAUUUUUUCUCUAUCAUGUUUCUGAUGGUUUUCAUCCUUUCUGCACUAUGGCUCUCUUUCUUUUGUUUCACCUUCCUCUUGUUGUAUCCAUGCAGGAUGCUGGAGGGGUUCUGUAUGCCCAAUUAAAUAUGCCACCAAGUAACGAUGAAAAAUUAAAGAGAAAAACCCAACUUGAGAAGGAACCCCAAGUCCUCUAUGCUGCUGUUAAAACACCUCAAUCAGAAAAUACAUAUGCU